rnacentral:rRNA from 1 species
UACAGAGACUGCAAGCGUUAUUCGGAUUCACUGGGCGUAAAGGGUGCGCAGGCGGCCAAGUGUGUCAGGUGUGAAAUCCCGAGCUUAACCUCGGAACUGCGCCUGAAACUACUUGGCUAGAGUACUGGAGAGGGUAACGGAAUUCACGGUGUAGCAGUGAAAUGCGUAGAUAUCGAGAGGAACACCAGUGGCGAAGGCGGGUCCCUGGACAACACCUGACACUGAGGCACGAAAGCUAGGGGAGCAAACAGG